rnacentral:rRNA from 1 species
GAUGAACGCUGGCGGCGUGCCUAAUACAUGCAAGUCGAGCGAACAGACGAGGAGCUUGCUCCUCUGACGUUAGCGGCGGACGGGUGAGUAACACGUGGAUAACCUACCUAUAAGACUGGGAUAACUUCGGGAAACCGGAGCUAAUACCGGAUAAUAUAUUGAACCGCAUGGUUCAAUAGUGAAAGACGGUUUUGCUGUCACUUAUAGAUGGAUCCGCGCCGCAUUAGCUAGUUGGUAAGGUAACGGCUUACCAAGGCGACGAUGCGUAGCCGACCUGAGAGGGUGAUCGGCCACACUGGAACUGAGACAUGGUCCAGACUCCUACGGGAGGCAGCAGUAGGGAAUCUUCCGUAAUGGGCGAAAGCCUGACGGAGCAACGCCGCGUGAGUGAUGAAGGUCUUCGGAUCGUAAAACUCUGUUAUUAGGGAAGAACAAAUGUGUAAGUAACUAUGCACGUCUUGACGGUACCUAAUCAGAAAGCCACGGCUAACUACGUG